rnacentral:tRNA from 1 species
GGUAGCGUGGCCGAGCAGUCUCUUCGGGGGCGUGGGUUCGAAUCCCACCGCUGCCA